AUGGACCCCGACAGCAUCAAGAGCCAUUUUGUCCACUGUUCUUUUCACAGUUUCUCUCUCCAGACUCUUUUGCGGCAGAGAAGUGGCUGGCGGCAGCCUGCUGAGCGGCAUCUUGCUGAGCAGUUUGGCAUCUUGGAGUGGCAGCAGCUAUUGUCCGGUUUAGUGGCCUCAGCUUUAGUGCAAGGAGAAGGUGGUGCAGGAUUUCCCCCCCAAGGAAGGGAGUACAACGCAGGAGAGUAUCCCUGCUCUGCAACCUUUCAUCCAGCUCCAGGGCUGUAGUGAAGCAAGUCCUUCUCCCAGCUGGGCAGAAAGGACAUGAAUGAAGUCAGAGUAAUGAGAAAACAAAAAGGAUGGGCAAGCAUGGGAGAUGUGGUCCUGACCCGUCAGGAGAAGGAUAUAGCUCUUCCCCAAGUCAGCAACAUAGAGGAGAAAGAAGGAGGGACUUCUGGAGUCCUGGAUACCAGUUUACAGGUAAGAUUUUGUUACUCUCUUUCUCCUUUGUCCUGUCUCCUCCCUUAGUCUCUCUUUCCUAACAUUUCUUUCCUGUCUUCACUCAAAUUCAUGUUUGGACUCACCCCUCAGUAGAUUGAGUAGCUCAGUUGGAUGUGAGGCAGGCCUAGAGAUGGGAGGUCCUAGGUUCAAAUGUUGCCUCAGACACUUCUCAGCCAUGUGACCCUGGGUAAUUCACUCAACCCCCAUUGCCUCACCCUUCCCACUCUUCUGCCUUGGAACCAAUACAUAGUAUUAAUUCCAACAUGGAAGGUAAGGGUUUAAAUUUAAAAAAAAAAUCAAACAAGAGUGGAGUUGUGGCAAAUUUUUAAAAAUUAACAGAAAAAAGUCAAGAAGUCACAAUAGCAGGAUGUGUCAGACAGUUGUAAAGGUGGCAUGUUGAACUUGUACAGUUUUAAAAAAGGCAACAUAAUUGAAAUUGGCCUUUUCAUAUAGAGAGAAGUUAUCAUUCCAUUUGAUAAAUGUUAAAUGAAGAAUUAUCAAACAAUCUUUUGAAAUGAAAUGGAGAUAAGGGGGCAGCUGGGUGGCUCAGUGGACUGAGAGUCAGACCUAGAGACAGGAGGUCCUAGGUUGAAAUCUGUCCUCAGACACUUCCCAGCUGUGUGACCCUGGGCAAGUUACUUAAGCCCCAUUGCCUAGCCGUUUUCUCUCUUCUGCCUUGGAGCCAAUACACAGUAUUGGCUCCAAGACAGAAGGUCAGGGUUUAAAAAAAAAUGAAAUGGAAAUGAGAAGGAAGGAGAAAGAAAAUGCUGGAGAAACAGAAAUUAUCCCUUGAUGCUGUGUGGAGUUGUCAUGAUGAAAUUUCAUGCUUAGUUCAUGCUUAUAGUAUUGGGGGCUAGCAUGAAAUGUUGAACAAUAGGAUGUCGUGAUUUGGCAGUUUUAGC
rnacentral:lncRNA from 1 species